GACGAACGCUGGCGGCGUGCUUAACACAUGCAAGUCGAACGGUGAAGCGCCUUCCUUUUUGGUGGGUGUGGAUGAGUGGCGAACGGGUGAGUAACACGUGAGUAACCUGCCCCCUUCUUCUGGAUAACCGCAUGAAAGUGUGGCUAAUACGGGAUAUUCUGGGUCUGUCGCAUGAUGGGUCUGGGAAAGAUAUUGUUUCGGUGGGGGAUGGGCUCGCGGCCUAUCAGCUUGUUGGUGGGGUGAUGGCCUACCAAGGCGGUGACGGGUAGCCGGCCUGAGAGGGUGGACGGCCACACUGGGGCUGAGACACGGCCCAGACUCCUACGGGAGGCAGCAGUGGGGAAUAUUGCACAAUGGGCGCAAGCCUGAUGCAGCGACGCCGCGUGAGGGAUGGAGGCCUUCGGGUUGUGAACCUCUUUCGCCAGUGAAGCAGGCCUGCCUCGUUUGUGGGUGGGUUGACGGUAGCUGGAUAAGAAGCGCCGGCUAACUACGUG
rnacentral:rRNA from 1 species